CCAUACUCCCCCAGAGCGCCAGAUGGGAAGCAUCAGCCCUGUCUCCGCUGAGAGCUGCCAUGGGAGAGGCUCCUGGAGCUGCUAGCGGCCAGGGGAGGAUGCAAGGAGCUGGUUUCAAAGCACCAACCCAGGGAGACCCACCGAGGAAGCUGCUGCCUCAGAGACCCGAAGGCAGAGGAGCUGCUGAGGCUGGGAACAGGGGGCCGGAACAAGAGGGAAGGAAGAGGAAAACAAUGCCACACAAAGACAAACCCCGCACGCCCCCAUGGAGACACAAUGUUCCUGGGACACAUGACCAGAACAGUCACCUCCAAGGCACUGUCUACUGAAACUACUAGACCUAACAGAACAGAAAUCCUUUGGCCAAGUAACUUAUACGGCAUCAGAAUGCUACAGAAUACCUUGAAGCCGAAACAUA